CCUACGGGUGGCAGCAGUGGGGAAUAUUGCACAAUGGGCGCAAGCCUGAUGCAGCCAUGCCGCGUGUGUGAAGAAGGCCUUCGGGUUGUAAAGCACUUUCAGCGGGGAGGAAGGCGGUGAGGUUAAUAACCUCAUCGAUUGACGUUACCCGCAGAAGAAGCACCGGCUAACUCCGUGUCAGCAGCCGCGGUAAUACGGAGGGUGCAAGCGUUAAUCGGAAUUACUGGGCGUAAAGCGCACGCAGGCGGUCUAUCAAGUCGGAUGUGAAAUCCCCGGGCUCAACCUGGGAACUGCAUUCGAAACUGGCAGGCUAGAGUCUUGUAGAGGGGGGUAGAAUUCCAGGUGUAGCGGUGAAAUGCGUAGAGAUCUGGAGGAAUACCGGUGGCGAAGGCGGCCCCCUGGACAAAGACCGACGCUCAGGUGCGAAAGCGUGGGGAGCAAACAGGAUUAGAUACCCGUGUAGUC
rnacentral:rRNA from 1 species